rnacentral:rRNA from 1 species
UAACACCUGAGAAAACCUUCCUAUCACCAAGGGGAUAGCCUCCCGAAAUCGGGGUGUAUUUCCCUUUGACAUCACAUUUUCCCACGGUUUAGUGAUCAAAAGAAUUAUUUGGUGAUAGAUGGUCUCGCGGCCUGCUUAGUUAGUAGGUUAAGCUAACUGCUUUCCAAGGCGACGAUCACUAUCCGGCUUGAUAGGCUGAACGGACACACCGGUACUGAGACACCAUCCAGACUCCUACGAGAGGCAGCAGCGGGGAAUUAUACACAAUGGGGGAAACCAGUAUGCAGCGACGUCGCGAGAACGAUGAAGGCGUUCGGGUUGUAAAGUUCUGUCCUAAGCGAAGAUAAUAACAGUAGCUCAGAAGAAAACUCCGGUUAAAUACAUCCCACCACCCGCGGUAAUAUGUAGGGAGCGAGCGUUGUCUGCGAAUUUUUGGGCGUAAAGGGUACGUAUGCGCUUAUGUGGGUCUGUGUUAAAAGGCAUUGUCUCACCCAAUGUUCGGUCUGGAAAAUGCAUAACUUGUGUAGAUAAGGGGUAAGUGGAAUUCCUAGUGUAGCGGGGAAAAGCUUAUAUAUUAGAGGAAAUACCAGGGGAGAAGGCGCCUUUCUGUAAUCUAUCAGUCGCGGAGGUAAAAAAGGGUGGGGAGCACACACGAUUUUAUAC